rnacentral:rRNA from 1 species
CAAGAGAGCUUGCUCUCUGGGUGACGAGCGGCGGACGGGUGAGUAAUGUCUGGGAAACUGCCUGAUGGAGGGGGAUAACUACUGGAAACGGUAGCUAAUACCGCAUGACGUCUUCGGACCAAAGUGGGGGACCUUCGGGCCUCACGCCAUCAGAUGUGCCCAGAUGGGAUUAGCUAGUAGGUGGGGUAAUGGCUCACCUAGGCGACGAUCUCUAGCUGGUCUGAGAGGAUGACCAGCCACACUGGAACUGAGACACGGUCCAGACUCCUACGGGAGGCAGCAGUGGGGAAUAUUGCACAAUGGGCGCAAGCCUGAUGCAGCCAUGCCGCGUGUAUGAAGAAGGCCUUCGGGUUGUAAAGUACUUUCAGCGAGGAGGAAGGCAUUAAGGUUAAUAACCUUAGUGAUUGACGUUACUCGCAGAAGAAGCACCGGCUAACUCCGUGCCAGCAGCCGCGGUAAUACGGAGGGUGCAAGCGUUAAUCGGAAUUACUGGGCGUAAAGCGCACGCAGGCGGUUUGUUAAG